GCCGAGCUCAGUAACGUGGGCUUGUGACCUAAGUUGGGGCAUUAAUGUGAUGGAAUAUUGGGCCAGUUAAGAUGGCUGGGUUCGGGUGGCUAAACUGUAUGAGUAUCAAGAUCAUAUAGUCUAUAACCUUU
rnacentral:SRP_RNA from 1 species